CGCAUCUGUGCAUGCAGCAUAUCAAUAAGCGGAGGAAAAGAAACUAACAAGGAUUCCCCUAGUAACGGCGAGUGAAGCGGGAGAGCUCAAAUUUGAAAUCUUAAAGGGUUUCCCUUUACGAAUUGUAGUUUAAAGAAGUGUUUUCUGUUGAGGUUUUGGUAAAAGUUCUUUGGAAUAGGACAUCAUAGAGGGUGAGAAUCCCGUAUUUGACCUUUACUUUCAACUUUGUGAUACACUUUCAAAGAGUCGGAUUGUUUGGGAAUGCAGUCCAAAAUGGGUGGUAAAUUUCAUCUAAAGCUAAAUAUUGGCGAGAGACCGAUAGCGAACAAGUACCGUGAGGGAAAGAUGAAAAGAACUUUGAAAAGAGAGUUAAACAGUACGUGAAAUUGUCAAAAGGGAAGCGUUUGACACCAGUGUUGUUUUUCUGAAAAUCAAUUAAAGAACUGUUUAUGCUAAGUUGUUUAGACUUUAUCAGCUAACUGUUUAGUUUUGAGCUUUUCUUUAAUGCACUUUUCAGUUAACAAGUCAACAUCAAUUUCUUUUGCUGUAAAAAGCUUGAGGAAGGUGGCUUGAGAUUCGUCUUAAGUGUUUAUAGCCUCUUGCCUAUGCAGUCGGAGAGAUUGAGGUCUGCAGCGUAGAUCCUUCGGGGCUAAAUGCAUUUGUGCUAAGUUAUAGCAUUUUAUAGACAACUUGUUGACUAUGAUUUGUCUUGUAGCUUACUCGCUUAUGUUAUUUUACCUACGCUUAGGAUGUUGACAGCAGUAUAGACUGU
rnacentral:rRNA from 1 species